CCUACGGGAGGCAGCAGUGGGGAAUUUUGGACAAUGGGCGCAAGCCUGAUCCAGCAAUGCCGCGUGCAGGAUGAAGGCCUUCGGGUUGUAAACUGCUUUUGUACGGAACGAAACGGUGAGCUCUAAUAAAGUUUGCUAAUGACGGUACCGUAAGAAUAAGCACCGGCUAACUACGUGCCAGCAGCCGCGGUAAUACGUAGGGUGCGAGCGUUAAUCGGAAUUACUGGGCGUAAAGCGUGCGCAGGCGGUUAUAUAAGACAGAUGUGAAAUCCCCGGGCUCAACCUGGGACCUGCAUUUGUGACUGUAUAGCUAGAGUACGGUAGAGGGGGAUGGAAUUCCGCGUGUAGCAGUGAAAUGCGUAGAUAUGCGGAGGAACACCGAUGGCGAAGGCAAUCCCCUGGACCUGUACUGACGCUCAUGCACGAAAGCGUGGGGAGCAAACAGGAUUAGAUACCCUGGUAGUCCACGCCCUAAACGAUGUCAACUGGUUGUUGGGUCUUCACUGACUCAGUAACGAAGCUAACGCGUGAAGUUGACCGCCUGGGGAGUACGGCCGCAAGGUUGAAACGUCAAAGUAGAGUUAGACGGCGUGAGACGUUAGCCGACGGACGACGACGAGGGAGGAGG
rnacentral:rRNA from 1 species